rnacentral:rRNA from 1 species
CAGUCGCCGCGGGAAUACGUAGGGUGCGAGCGUUAAUCGGAAUUACUGGGCGUAAAGCGUGCGCAGGCGGUUAUGUAAGACGGGUGUGAAAUCCCCGGGCUUAACCUGGGAACUGCGCUUGUGACUGCACAGCUAGAGUAUGGCAGAGGGGGGUGGAAUUCCACGUGUAGCAGUGAAAUGCGUAGAGAUGUGGAGGAACACCGAUGGCGAAGGCAGCCCCCUGGGCCAAUACUGACGCUCAUGCACGAAAGCGUGGGGAGCAAACAGGAUUAGAUACCCCGGUAGUCCCUGUCUCUUAACA